rnacentral:RNase_MRP_RNA from 2 species
UUCAGAGACAAAGGUUUGUUUACGAAGCUGACUAAGUGGCCACCGUGCCGCAGUGUCUCGACACUACUGCUUCGGGGAAAGUCUCCGGCCGCGAUAACGGAAACGUAGCGGAAUUUAAAACCCGUUCACACUCUGUCGGGGCCCAUCUCGCUGGGUAUGUCUAAGUUCUGCACUGAAGGUCUUUUGCUGGAUAGUCGUCAGGCCGUUUUCUUGUAACUCCCUUCUCCUGCUAACCCCUUUUGGGUCUUGUUGGCUUCAUGUCAAUGGCAUAGUGAGGGCUUUGAAAAUAUGCCUGGCAGACAUUCUGCACAAGAGUUUUUUUGCAUAAGGGACUUUGGCGUAUUCAGUUGGGCUUGGGGUUCCUUGACUUUGUGUUCCCUUGGUUCUUCAUGGAGGAUUGAGGUUUCUUUCGGCAAUGGGAUUGUGAAUCCUAAACGAUAGUUAUAGCAAACGGCCACCGUAUCGGGUGGCUAACACAAUGGAGCUCACUCUUGUCUCUGG